AUGGAUUCCUCCUUCACUGGUAGCCUGGUAACAUACACUCCCAGGUCUUUCUCUGCCUCUGUGGUGGAUAGUGGAGUGUUUCCCAUGUGGUAUUGGUGUGCUGGAUAUCCCUUCACUGGUAGCCUGGUAACAUACACUCCCAGGUCUUUCUCUGCCUCUGUGGUGGAUAGCGGAGUGUUUCCCAUGUGGUAUUGGUAUGCUGGAUAUCCCUUCACUGGUAGCCUGGUAACAUACACUCCCAGGUCUUUCUCUGCCUCUGUGGUGGAUAGUGGAGUGUUUCCCAUGUGGUAUUGGUGUGCUGGAUAUCCCUUCACUGGUAGCCUG